CAGCUGACGUGCGAGGUACUCUGGUAAUCAUACGAAAGACAGUGAAUUUGCCAAGAUGCUAGUAUUCUGUGGUGUUAUGGGUGCGCAAACAAGCGGACAAAGUUCCCGGAAAAGUUUUUCUUCCGACUACCAGCAGUAGACAAGAGAUAUGGAGGGAAGAGAGAUAAAAUAACAAGAGAACGGCCACGGAAGUGGCUGGCAAAUCUGGCAAGAGCUGACUUAACCGAGGCUGGAAAAAGGCAUCUCCUCGUGUGCAGUGAUCAUUUUUUGAGUGGACGGCCAGCAGUCCUUGAGGAUACUAGUAAUCCAGAUUGGGCCCCAACACAGAACCUUGGUCAUCGCAGAGUGUCCCAGGAAUUGGUCGCCAUCAGUUGUGCUCGGCAUCAAAGGAUCCAGGAGAGAAAGUUGAAGAAGGAUAAGGAGAUGUUUAUGGCAGCGCAGACACUCAUGGACAUACAGGAAUACACUCAACCUUGCAGUGACGAAGUUCAUGUUGAACAACAGGAACAGUUGUCCCUACCAGCCAUCGGCCAGACAUUUCAGACAGAGAAGCAAACCAUUCUGUCUAGACCAGCUGCCUGCCAGACAGAAACAGUAACAGUUGCAACUGUUGGCUGCCAAACAGACCUCACCCUAAUGGAGAUGACCAUGUUUGAUCAGCAAUAUGAGGACUUGAACCAGUUACGAACAGAGGUGUAUGAACUCCGUUCUACAGUAGGUGACUACAAUAACCUCAACCUCAGUAAUGAUGAUGAAAAAGUACAUCUUUUAUACA